UUUAAAGACAACUAGAGGCUCUAAAGAGCCUGUGUCGCUCACCUUGGUCUAUGCGAAUAUUAAACAAAGGAAGAAGAUGGAUUCAUGACAAAAUUGUGUUUUGGUGAUGAUAAUGUGUUUGUACAUCUUACUUUACUGAACAUUCUUGCUGCUUACAAUUAUCUCUAUCUAUAAUGAACUUGGCCCAGUAGUUUCAGUAAAAAAUGUUUGUAAAAAUUUACAAAUUUUAUGAAAAUUGUUAAAAAUUGACUAUAAAGGACAAUAACUCCUUAGGGGGUCAAUUGAUCAUUUCAGUCAUGUUGACUUAUUUGUAAAUCUUACUUUGCUGUACAUUUUUGCUGUUUAAAGUUUAUCUCUAUCUAUAAUAAUAUUCAAGAUAAUAACCCA
rnacentral:lncRNA from 1 species